rnacentral:rRNA from 1 species
UGGGGAAUAUUGCACAAUGGGCGAAAGCCUGAUGCAGCGACGCCGCGUGAGGGAUGACGGCCUUCGGGUUGUAAACCUCUUUCAGCAGGGACGAAGCGCAAGUGACGGUACCUGCAGAAGAAGCACCGGCUAACUACGUGCCAGCAGCCGCGGUAAUACGUAGGGUGCAAGCGUUGUCCGGAAUUACUGGGCGUAAAGAGUUCGUAGGCGGUUUGUCGCGUCGUUUGUGAAAACCAGCAGCUCAACUGCUGGCUUGCAGGCGAUACGGGCAGACUUGAGUACUGCAGGGGAGACUGGAAUUCCUGGUGUAGCGGUGAAAUGCGCAGAUAUCAGGAGGAACACCGGUGGCGAAGGCGGGUCUCUGGGAAGUAACUGACGCUGAGGAACGAAAGCGUGGGUAGCGAACAGG